rnacentral:rRNA from 1 species
CCUACGGGGGGCAGCAGUGGGGAAUAUUGCACAAUGGGCGAAAGCCUGAUGCAGCAACGCCGCGUGAGCGAUGAAGGCCUUCGGGUCGUAAAGCUCUGUCCUCAAGGAAGAUAAUGACGGUACUUGAGGCGGAAGCCCCGGCUAACUACGUGCCAGCAGCCGCGGUAAUACGUAGGGGGCUAGCGUUAUCCGGAUUUACUGGGCGUAAAGGGGGCGUAGGUGGUUACUUAAGUCGGAGGUGAAAGGCUACGGCUAAACCGUAGUAAGCCUUUGAAACUGGGGAACUUGAGUGCAGGUGAGGAGAGUGGAAUUCCUAGUGUAGCGGUGAAAUGCGUAGAUAUUAGGAAGAACACCAGUUGCGAAGGCGGCUCUCUGGACUGUAACUGACACUGAGGCACGAAAGCGUGGGGAGCAAACAGGAUUAGAUACCCUGGUAGUC